rnacentral:rRNA from 1 species
UUGCACGCUGGCGGCCGGCCUCACCCCUGCCAGUCGCGCGGUAACAGGAAACAGCUUGCUGUUUCGCUGACGAGUGGCGGACGGGUGAGUAAUGUCUGGGAAACUGCCUGAUGGAGGGGGAUAACUACUGGAAACGGUAGCUAAUACCGCAUAACGUCGCAAGACCAAAGAGGGGGACCCUCGGGCCUCUUGCCAUCGGAUGUGCCCAGAUGGGAUUAGCUUGUUGGUGGGGUAACGGCUCACCAAGGCGACGAUCCCUAGCUGGUCUGAGAGGAUGACCAGCCACACUGGAACUGAGACACGGUCCAGACUCCUACGGGAGGCAGCAGUGGGGAAUAUUGCACAAUGGGCGCAAGCCUGAUGCAGCCAUGCCGCGUGUAUGAAGAAGGCCUUCGGGUUGUAAAGUACUUUCAGCGGGGAGGAAGGGAGUAAAGUUAAUACCUUGGCUCAUUGACGUUACCCGCAGAAGAAGCACCGGCUAACUCCGUG